UUUUAUGAGAGUUUGAUCCUGGCUCAGGACGAACGCUGGCGGCGUGCCUAAUACAUGCAAGUCGAACGCUUCUUUUUCCACCGGAGCUUGCUCCACCGGAAAAAGAGGAGUGGCGAACGGGUGAGUAACACGUGGGUAACCUGCCCAUCAGAAGGGGAUAACACUUGGAAACAGGUGCUAAUACCGUAUAACAAUCAAAACCGCAUGGUUUUGAUUUGAAAGGCGCUUUCGGGUGUCGCUGAUGGAUGGACCCGCGGUGCAUUAGCUAGUUGGUGAGGUAACGGCUCACCAAGGCCACGAUGCAUAGCCGACCUGAGAGGGUGAUCGGCCACAUUGGGACUGAGACACGGCCCAAACUCCUACGGGAGGCAGCAGUAGGGAAUCUUCGGCAAUGGACGAAAGUCUGACCGAGCAACGCCGCGUGAGUGAAGAAGGUUUUCGGAUCGUAAAACUCUGUUGUUAGAGAAGAACAAGGAUGAGAGUAACUGUUCAUCCCUUGACGGUAUCUAACCAGAAAGCCACGGCUAACUACGUGCCAGCAGCCGCGGUAAUACGUAGGUGGCAAGCGUUGUCCGGAUUUAUUGGGCGUAAAGCGAGCGCAGGCGGUUUCUUAAGUCUGAUGUGAAAGCCCCCGGCUCAACCGGGGAGGGUCAUUGGAAACUGGGAGACUUGAGUGCAGAAGAGGAGAGUGGAAUUCCAUGUGUAGCGGUGAAAUGCGUAGAUAUAUGGAGGAACACCAGUGGCGAAGGCG
rnacentral:rRNA from 1 species